GACGAACGCUGGAGGCGUGCCUAAUACAUGCAAGUAGGACGCAGUUGCGAACGGGUGAGUAACGCGUAGGUAACUACCUAUUAGAGGGGGCUAAACAUUGGAAACGAUAGCUAAUACCGCAUACUAGUAGAUGGACCUGCGUUGUAUUAGCUAGUAGGUAGGGCAAUGGCCUACCUAGGCAACGAUACAUAGCCGACCUUGGCUGGUGAUCGGGCACACUGGAUCUGAGACGCGGCCCAGACUCCUGCGAGGUGCAGCAGUAGGGAAGGUUGGGCAAUGGGGGGAACCCUGGCCGUGCAACGUCGCGGGAGUGCAGAAGGUGUUCAGAUCGUAAAGAUCUGUUGUUAAGGAAGCGGUACUGAACCAGAAAGGGACGGCUAACUACGUGCCAGCAGCCGCGGUAAUUC
rnacentral:rRNA from 1 species